AAUUUUGGACAAUGGGGGAAACCCUGAUCCACCCAUCCCGCGUGUAUGAUGAAGGCGUCCGGGUUGUAAAGUCCUUUUGGCAGAGAAGAAAAGGUAUCUCCUAAUACGAGAUACUGCUGACGGUAUCUGCAGAAUAAGCACCGCCCAACUACGUGCCAGCAGCCGCGGUAAUACGUAGGGUGCAAGCGUUAAUCGGAAUUACUGGGCGUAAAGCGUGUGUAGGCGGUUCGGAAAGAAAGAUGUGAAAUCCCAGGGCUCAACAUUGGAACUGCAUUUUUAACUGCCGAGCUAGAGUAUGUCAGAGGUGAGUAGAAUUCCACGUGUAGCAGUGAAAUGCGUAGAUAUGUGGAGGAAUACCGAUGGCGAAGGCAGCCCCCUGGGAUAAUACUGACGCUCAGACACGAAAGCGUGGGGAGUAAACAGG
rnacentral:rRNA from 1 species